rnacentral:rRNA from 1 species
GAUGAACGCUGGCGGCGUGCCUAAUACAUGCAAGUCGAGCGAACAGACGAGGAGCUUGCUCCUCUGACGUUAGCGGCGGACGGGUGAGUAACACGUGGAUAACCUACCUAUAAGACUGGGAUAACUUCGGGAAACCGGAGCUAAUACCGGAUAAUAUAUUGAACCGCAUGGUUCAAUAGCGAAAGACGGUUUUGCUGUCACUUAUAGAUGGUUCCGCGCCGCAUUAGCUAGUUGGUAAGGUAACGGCUUACCAAGGCAACGAUGCGUAGCCGACCUGAGAGGGUGGUCGGCCACACUGGAACUGAGACACGGUCCAGACUCCUACGGGAGGCAGCAGUAGGGAAUCUUCCGCAAUGGGCGAAAGCCUGACGGAGCAACGCCGCGUGAGUGAUGAAGGUCUUCGGAUCGUAAAACUCUGUUAUUAGGGAAGAACAAAUGUGUAAGUAACUAUGCACGUCUUGACGGUACCUAAUCAGAAAGCCACGGCUAACUACGUG